GUGCACCAGUCGAGAAAACUCCGCAAUGCUCGAAAGAGUGACGGGGGGAUUCCAAGUGCCUACGCUUAGCGUAGGCUGUUCAGAUGCCUAAAAAGCAUCUGGAGUAAGGGCUGGGUAAGACGGGUGCCAUCUGCAGUGGUAAUGAAAAACUUGCUACUGCAAGGCAUAAGCCGCCGCGGUAAUACCCGCAGCCCGAGUGGUAGUCGCUUUUAUUGGGCCUAAAGCGUCCGUAGCCGGUCUGGUAAAUGCCUGGGUAAAUCGUGGGGCCUAACCUCACGAAUUCCGGGUAGACUGCCAGACUUGGGACCGGUUGAGGGAGAGGGUACUCCAGGGGUAGGGGUGAAAUCCUGUAAUCCUUGGAGGACCACCGGUGGCGAAAGCGCUCUCCUAGGACGGGUCCGACGGUGAGGGACGAAAGCCAGGGGAGCAAAACCGGAUUAGAUACCCCUGUA
rnacentral:rRNA from 1 species